UAAACAGGUUCUAAAUAUAGACUUACAGAUGUUUUUCAUUGGGCCAAGGAAAUUUCAGUCCAAUCUAUAUUUGGUUCUCUAGAUAAAAAAGACACUAUGGAUUUCAGGGCAAAUUGAUAAUACUAUAAUUACUAAGACUAUGGGUCUAAAAGUUCCAAAUAAGUUCAUAAGUUUUAACUCCUGUUCCUAGUUUAUAUCUAUCUCAACAGGUUUCCACUUGGCUGACAGAUACAUCCAAGCAUCAUUUGCUGGUGACAACCUACUGCAAAUGACUAUGAGCCCUGAACUUGCUGAAAGCUGAUAUGGACCAAUUCAGCCGAUAUGCAUACCAUCUCUUCAGCUGAUUCUAUGUUACCUGUCCUCGGUCCACUUGGAAUCUCUUGAGAGAGCCGAGUCCUGUGUGUUCCUAGGCCCUGCCACAGGGACCUGGACGCCCUGCCUGUUGAGGCAAGGUUGUGGAUGUCCCGGGCCUUAUGGUCCCUGCUUCGCAUGAUGUGGGGCAGCAUCCAUCUGAACGCUCAUCACUACCAAGGCCAAGGUUUUGGAAGGAAGUCCUUCUUCUCCCAUCUUAGUAUUAGACCAUCGGAUUUGGGACACGGGACUAAGGCCGCUGACUCUGCAUCCCUUACAAGCAUACACAGCUGCCUGCCCUUUUGCCUUGUGUCCAUCCUGGAGCGGCCUUCUGCAAGGUGGGAAGCCCGAGCUG